rnacentral:lncRNA from 1 species
GUGUUGCACCCAUUUUUUUUUGGAUGGGUCGUUCGACGUUACGCGCGAAUUGAAUUAUGAACUGCUGGUUCAUUCGCAAAGGUGAGUCACGGUGCCGGGGCAUUUUACUUGAUAUUAGAACGAGAAGGAGAGAUGUAGAGUGCACGCACAAGGAAACAAAUGACGGGUGAGGGGAUGGUUGGAGAAAGAGUGCAUGUAUUUGCAGCGCAGAAUGAAAGAUGAGAGAUCAUACCGGCAUUAAUGC